CACGAGGGUCUCACUGUCUUAAGGAAAUUUCCAGUGAAAUUGAAUUUGUAGUGAAGAUGCUACAUCCAAAUUGUUAGACAAGAAGUCCCCAUGGAACUUUACUGGAAACUUAUGUGGCUUAAAUUAAUUUAUUUCUUACAAAUAAAUAGUUUUUAAAUGUGGUGUUAACCUCUCGGAUUAACGAGGGUUAGAAAAGCUCACUCUUUUAUUUUAAGAAAGCCAACUCAAAAAUUUAUGUCUUUGGGAUUUGAUAAGUGGGACAGUUUGGUUGGGGCGACCGCCUUUAAAAAAGUAACGAAGGCGGGCUUAAGAUAACUUUUUAGUUAUGUCUGACUGCCAAGGGGGAAUCCUGAGCAGACACUUAUUUUUUAGGUGGGUUUAAGUGACCCGUUAAUUUAGGGUGAAAUAUUUAACGAUAAGCA
rnacentral:rRNA from 1 species